rnacentral:rRNA from 1 species
GACGAACGCUGGCGGCGUGCCUAAUACAUGCAAGUCGAACGAUCUUUUCUAUGGAAGCUUGCUUCCACUGGGAAGAUAGCGGCGGACGGGUGAGUAACACGUGGGUAACCUGCCUACUAGCGGGGGAUAACUAUUGGAAACGAUAGCUAAUACCGCAUAACAGUGUUUAACACAUGUUAGAUGCUUGAAAAAAGACAAAUGCAUCACUAGUAGAUGGACCUGCGUUGUAUUAGCUAGUUGGU